GUACAAGCUUCGGCGAUACAUAUACUAAAAUUGGAACGAUACAGAGAUUAGCAUGGCCCCCGCGCAAGGAUGACACAAAAAUCCGGCACGGUAGCUCAGCGUGU